GAGACGUGGCCAUAGCCGACCAAGACGGCUCCCUGGAGCCCUGGGCUCCUCGCUGGCCCCCACCAUGCCCAGAGAGCAGCGGCAGUGUUCCGGGGGCACCAGCACCGGCCCCAGCCCUACCCCUCCAAAACUGGGCUGUCCACAAACGGCAUCUUGGGCUGGGGCAAUGCGGGACUCUGAAGCUGACGGACCGCCAAAGGGUUGCACUGUCAAAGCUUUGGGCUGGGAAAUGUGGGCUGGGGGGUGGGAAAUGGGUGGGGAGGGAAUGGUUGCAGGGUGGGGGGAGGGAAUUUGGGGUGGGAACUCUUUGGGUGGGAACUUGGGGUGGGAAUUCUUGGGGUGCUGGGAUCUUUGUGAGGUUGGAAAUGAAAUGGCUGUACUCUGAUGUUGUUGGGGUGGGGGGAGGGAAUUUGGGGUGGGAAUUCUUGAGGUGGGAACUCUUGGGGCACUGGGAUCUUUCUGAGGUUGGAAAUGAAAUGGCUGUACUCUGAUGUUGUUGGGGUGGGAAUUUGGGGGGUGGGGAACUGCUGGGGCGAGAAAUGGCUGCCGUGGGAGAUGGUUGGCAUCAAAAAUGAUUGGACUCCGUAACUGCUGGCAUUGAAGAUGGGGGGAGGGGGAGGGAAUUCUGUGGGGUGGCAAUUCUGGGGGAGAAAUUGUACUCUGAUCACGUUACACUCCCAAGUUGUUGGAAUUUGGAGGAAGGAAUUGUUGGGGUGGGAAUGUGGGGGGCUGGGAGGUAUUUUGCAGAGGGAGGG
ensembl:lncRNA